UGACGAGUGGCGAACGGGUGAGUAAUAUAUCGGAACGUACCAUUCAGUGGGGGAUAACGUAGCGAAAGUUACGCUAAUACCGCAUAUUCUGUGAGCAGGAAAGCAGGGGAUCGCAAGACCUUGCGCUGAUUGAGCGGCCGAUAUCAGAUUAGCUAGUUGGUGAGGUAAGAGCUCACCAAGGCGACGAUCUGUAGCGGGUCUGAGAGGAUGAUCCGCCACACUGGAACUGAGACACGGUCCAGACUCCUACGGGAGGCAGCAGUGGGGAAUUUUGGACAAUGGGGGCAACCCUGAUCCAGCCAUGCCGCGUGAGUGAAGAAGGCCUUCGGGUUGUAAAGCUCUUUCAGCCGGGAAGAAAACGCAUGGGUUAAUACCCUGUGUGGAUGACGGUACCGGAAUAAGAAGCACCGGCUAACUACGUGCCAGCAGCCGCGGUAAUACGUAGGGUGCGAGCGUUAAUCGGAAUUACUGGGCGUAAAGCGUGCGCAGGCGGUUUUGUAAGACAGGCGUGAAAUCCCCGGGCUUAACCUGGGAACUGCGUUUGUGACUGCAAGGCUAGAGUACGGCAGAGGGGGGUGGAAUUCCACGUGUAGCAGUGAAAUGCGUAGAGAUGUGGAGGAACACCAAUGGCGAAGGCAGCCCCCUGGGUCGAUACUGACGCUCAUGCACAAAAGCGUGGGUAGCAAACAGGAUUAGAUACCCUGUAGUCCACGCCCUAAACGAUGUCAACUAGGUGUUGGGAGGGUAAAACCUUUAGUACCGGAGCUAACGCGUGAAGUUGACCGCCUGGGGAGUACGGCCGCAAGGUUAAAACUCAAAGGAAUUGACGGGGACCCGCACAAGCGGUGGAUGAUGUGGAUUAAUUCGAUGCAACGCGAAAAACCUUACCUACCCUUGACAUGCCAAGAACUUUCCAGAGAUGGAUUGGUGCCCGAAAGGGAACUUGGACACAGGUGCUGCAUGGCUGUCGUCAGCUCGUGUCGUGAGAUGUUGGGUUAAGUCCCGCAACGAGCGCAACCCUUGUCGUUAAUUGCCAUCAUUUAGUUGGGCACUUUAACGAGACUGCCGGUGACAAACCGGAGGAAGGUGGGGAUGACGUCAAGUCCUCAUGGCCCUUAUGGGUAGGGCUUCACACGUCAUACAAUGGUCGGUACAAAGGGUCGCCAAGCCGCGAGGUGGAGCCAAUCCCAGAAAGCCGAUCGUAGUCCGGAUCGCAGUCUGCAACUCGACUGCGUGAAGUCGGAAUCGCUAGUAAUCGUGGAUCAGAAUGUCACGGUGAAUACGUUCCCGGGUCUUGUACACACCGCCCGUCACACCAUGGGAGCGGGUUCCGCCAGAAGUAGGUAGCCUAACCGCAAGGAGGGCGCUUACCACGGCGGGGUUCGUGACUGGGGUGAAGUCGUAACAAGGUA
rnacentral:rRNA from 1 species